CCUACGGGGAGCUGCAGUGGGGAAUAUUGGACAAUGGGGGGAACCCUGAUCCAGCCAUGCCGCGUGUGUGAAGAAGGCCCUCGGGUUGUAAAGCACUUUCAGUGAGGAAGAACGCCUGGUGGUUAAUACCCAUCAGGAAAGACAUCACUCACAGAAGAAGCACCGGCUAACUCCGUGCCAGCAGCCGCGGUAAUACGGAGGGUGCGAGCGUUAAUCGGAAUUACUGGGCGUAAAGCGCGCGUAGGUGGCUUGAUAAGCCGGUUGUGAAAGCCCCGGGCUCAACCUGGGAACGGCAUCCGGAACUGUCAAGCUAGAGUGCAGGAGAGGAAGGUAGAAUUCCCGGUGUAGCGGUGAAAUGCGUAGAGAUCGGGAGGAAUACCAGUGGCGAAGGCGGCCUUCUGGACUGACACUGACACUGAGGUGCGAAAGCGUGGGUAGCAAACAGGAUUAGAUACCCCAGUAGUC
rnacentral:rRNA from 1 species